rnacentral:lncRNA from 1 species
GUAGGUUUAGAUGAAUGGAAAAUGAACUUGCCAGUUCACAGCUAUGUCCUUCCCAAUUUAGGAGGUUAAGGGCAGGAAAAACAUGAGAAACUCUUUUGAGAAGCUGCACAAGCUGACAUGGAGGAUCAAGGAUUUCAAAAGCUUUGAAUAUAAAGAGGUGUCAGACUUACAUCAGAGCCUGAGACUUGACAUGCCUAUUUUUGCACUCGCUCAUUUUUCAAAUUUCAUAGGCAUUGCUCCCUCCAAAUCACCGCUCUUCUAAUUUUAUCCUGGAGUGUGCAUCCCAGAAGACAUAAGCUGACACAAUUGGGAACUGAAGUUGCUUGAAAAAGCUGGUGACUCUAGACAGCUUAUACGUAUUUGGACAAGGCAACGUGAUGAAGAAAUAAUAUAAUUGUAGGAUCACCUCUGUCCAGUAGCUGUUAUCCAACAUCUGCAUACUUAGAUUUCUGGAGAGGACAGUCAAUAUUUUUUCCCUGAGUUUGAAAAAAUCAUUUUCAAAUGUUCACUGGCAAAUCUGGAUAACAGCAGGCUCCUCCCACGCAUGCAGACCCUGACCACAAAGCAGACAAAUUCUCCUGUUUCCCAGGCUGGAGUGCAGUGGUGCGAUCUGGGCUCACUUCAUCCUAUGCCUCCCAGGCUCAAGCGAUCCUCCUGCCUCCACCACUGGAAUAACUGGGACUACAAACUCACACCACCAUGCCUAGUUAAUUUCUGUAUCUUUUUGAGUAGAGAUAGUGUUUUGCCAUGUUAUCCAGGGUGGCCUCCAACCCGGGAGCUCAAGCCAUCCACCCUCUUCGGCCUCCCAAAGUGCUGGGAUUGCAAGCAUGAGCCACUGCACUGGCUAAUUCUUUAUUUUAAUGUUCAUGUUUUCAUUAGGCAAUUUCAGUACACCCAAGUGUAUUUUGAGAAGUGAUUCACUUUUAAUCUCUCCUAGUUUCUUUCAAUUAUGGCCGCAAAAUUCAUUAACGUUGUAUGACUGAUUUAAGGAAAUGCUGUUGCAUUAGUGAGUAUCUACUUUUAUAAACCUAAAAUAGUUUCUUACCUCAUGUCUCCUUACAAUCAUCUGAUUAUAGACAGUAUCAAUUCUAUGAACUUGCAUACUUCCAAAAAGAAAA